UACGUAGGGGGCAAGCGUUGUCCGGAAUCAUUGGGCGUAAAGAGCGUGUAGGCGGCCCGAUAAGUCCGCUGUGAAAGUCCAGGGCUCAACCCUGGGAUGCCGGUGGAUACUGUCGGGCUCGAGUCCGGAAGAGGAGUGUGGAAUUCCUGGUGUAGCGGUGAAAUGCGCGGAUAUCAGGAGGAACACCAAUGGCGAAGGCAGCACUCUGGGACGUGACUGACGCUGAGACGCGAAAGCGUGGGGAGCAAACAGG
rnacentral:rRNA from 1 species